ACCUGGGAUAGUUCAGUCAGUACAGCAUGGGACUUUUAAUCUCAGGUUUGUGGGUUUGAACCCCUCACUGGGCA